UGGGGAAUAUUGCACAAUGGGCGCAAGCCUGAUGCAGCCAUGCCGCGUGUAUGAAGAAGGCCUUCGGGUUGUAAAGUACUUUCAGUCGGGAGGAAGGUGUCAAGGUUAAUAACCUUGGCAAUUGACGUUACCGACAGAAGAAGCACCGGCUAACUCCGUGCCAGCAGCCGCGGUAAUACGGAGGGUGCAAGCGUUAAUCGGAAUUACUGGGCGUAAAGCGCACGCAGGCGGUUGAUUGAGUCAGAUGUGAAAUCCCCGGGCUUAACCCGGGAAUUGCAUCUGAUACUGGUCAGCUAGAGUCUUGUAGAGGGGGGUAGAAUUCCAUGUGUAGCGGUGAAAUGCGUAGAGAUGUGGAGGAAUUCCGGUGGCGAAGGCGGCCCCCUGGACAAAGACUGACGCUCAGGUGCGAAAGCGUGGGGAGCAAACAGG
rnacentral:rRNA from 1 species